GGUUGCUAUAGACACACGAGGACGAUUACUGGAAGAGAAUCUGACAGUAUUUCCGGGUCAGGGAGCAGUGCAGCACUGGUGUACACACGGUUCUACGUGAGUUUUAAAAACGGCUUUUCAUGACGAAGUGGUUUUCGUGUCCGAGAAGACAGGAAGAUACAACACCGUGGAAAAGGUCUUUAUUGAUCAGAUGGUCCAAGCUGACACAGGCAACAGGCACAUUACCAUGAAGAAAGACGAACAAGAAGAGUGGGAAGGACACCCACGCUGAGGAUGAGAUCUCAGAAAACACUUCCAUAAACCAGGGGAAUAGCGAAAGAGUGAAGAAGAAAAAGAAGAUGAAAGUAGAGACUCUGGUAGAAGAAGAGCAGGUUUCAUCCAAUGGGGAAUGGGUGAAUACGGAAGGAGAGCAGGUUUCAUCCAAUGGGGAAUGGGGGAAUACGGAAGGAGAUCAGGUUUCAUCCAAUGGGGAAUGGGGGAAUACGGAAGGAGAGCAGGUGAAACAGAAAGGAAAGAAGAAGAAGAAGAAGAAGUUGUUGUCUGGGACUGACACCAACGGUGAGGAAGUCAUGACUAAUGGAAAUGACGGAGGAGGGUGCGGCCAGGAGAAGAAGAAGAAGCAGAAAGGUGUUAACACUGUUAAAACGGAGCUAGAGACAGAACACAGUGGAUUAAAGGAUGAGAAAGGAGUAUUGGAAAAUGGGCAGAAGCUGA